UGACCUGGGCUGAAGUCGGACGAUUAACUGACUGAGCCACCCAGGCGCCCCAGGACCAGACACUUCUAACAGGAGCACAGGGCUGCUUUAGAGGGGUAAGGACAUGGCCUUUGUCCCACCAAACAAUGCCACUCAGGCACUCACCAUCAGAAAUCCUAAUCCAUGGGAAUUUGAAGCUAAUAUUCCACAAAUUGAAAGAAUGUAUUCAAAACAUAUCACCCUAAAAAGCAGCAGGAAACUAGUGUUGUUGGUUUUUGGGUUUUUUUUAUGGCACACUGUCAACUCCAUCUUCUAGUACACAGUGAGCUCCUCAACAAUAAAGAGAGGUCUCUGGGAUUUGAUGGUUUACUCCCCCACCUUCCCUAAACAGUCCAACUUCCCCUACUUAAAUAUGGUGGUGAAUUUAGCAAGGAGGAAUUCUGAAUCACUGUCCAAUGAUCAGCAUCACUGAGCGUGUUCUGGAGAUCGACAAGGACAGGAAUGUGCUAGGAGAUGUAAGCACAGGAUCAACUCCCGGCCAGGUUGGGCAGCUCCAGAAUUUGGAAAUUAAUCAAGAAAGGAAAGAAAGGGGAAAAUAAAAGGAAAAGAGGAAAAAGAAAGUUAUCAGGCCCCGACUCCCCUGCUCUUCCCGACACACAUGAAGAGCACAGACCAAAUAUCUGAACAUUCCUGACCCCACCCUUUCCCUUAUACCCACAUCAGCAAGCCCAGUCAGCUCAGUCUCUAAAAUAUACCCUGAACCCUAUCACUUCUCCAGGACCGCCAUUCUGGUCAAACACACCAUUAUCUUCCAUCUGGUCUACCAACAUACUUCCUUAGCUAUCCCUGCUCCCACACUUGCCUCCUUAUCCCUCAUACCUUAUAAUCACUUUUCCAUAGAGAAGUCAGAGUGGCUUAUACUACGAGAUGCAAGUCAGACCACGUUACUUUUCUACUCGAACCCUACUAAGGCUUUCCAAGACUCCAAAAUCCUCCCCAUGGAUGCCAGGUCUUAACACUUCCCACUUCUUGACCUCAUAUCCUCCGCUUCCCUUUCAUUUUAUUCUAGCAAUAUCUGGCUUAGUACUGUUCCUAGAACACUGUAGACUGUUUCUACCUCAGGGUCUUUUUACAUACUAUACCCUCAGCGUAUAAUGCUUCCCCAAAAUCACAGCAUCCAUCAUCAUUUCAUGUGUGUCCUUGUUCCAAUGUUACCUCUUCCAAGAGGUUUUUCUUAAUCAUCCUGUCCAAAACAACCAUUCAUCUCCCUAGUCCUCUGUCUUGUUAUUUCUCCAUAGCACCUUGUCACUAUUUGAAUUUUCUCAUUAGAUUAUUACCUAUCCCCCAACCAACCUGCCUGAGGAUAGGUGCUUUCUAUCUGUUCUCCACUGUAUUCUCAGAGCCUAGAACAGAGGCUGGCAUAUAACAGAUAGUCAACAGUAUCUCAAUAAAUAAAUGUGGAGCCAUUGAGAUUGGCCAGAAAGGGUUUCCUAUAAUCAGGAUUUUUAGUUUUAUUUUCAAAGAGACGAAGGAUACAUGUUGGUUGGAAUCAUACCUGAUGAUCUCUAUUGUUCCUGCUCUUACUGAUGUCCAAGAAUCUCCACUACCCCCACAAGCAGGGCCACCUUUUACAAUCACAGACCACACACCAUCACUCAGAUGGUGCAUGUGAGCCAGACAGAAACAAUAUGAAAAAUCAGUUUUCCAUUCCAUGAUUGUGUGGUACCUAAAUGGAAAGCUACACUGGAAGAUAAACAGAAAUGAAAGGCACCAUGAUGCUAUAAUGUUAUCUUUAAAAAGAAAGUGCAACCUAUUUUAAAUGACACAAUACUUAAGUGCAUCAGGCAUACCCAGGCAGGGUGUGAAAUCAGGCCAUAUGUUAGCCCUCAGGUGGAAUUAUAAAGCACGUGGCUGAAGGCUGACUGCUUUAAGAGGGCCUUGCAUUACAUUAUAUAAAGAAUUUUACUACUUUUCUGAAUUGAACUUAGCUACGGAAUUGAGAGAAACCAUCUGACUUCCACAUUUACCCUGUCUCACAGAGGUGGGGCAUGGUAGCACUAAAAUCCAACAGGCACACUGUAGCCAUGCUCCAUUCAAAUUCUCAGUGCAGAACUACGAUGUUGAUGUUAUAUUGUGUUUAAACCUUAAUGAAAGAUAACAUUUCUUUCUCUCUCGCACAGUGCUCAGUUCUAUAACCUUCAUACAAAAUACAGAUCCUUGCUGGGGAGUUUGGACCAACAGUGUGCUGUGAGCAACUUGUGCUCAUAAGCCAGGCCCACACAGAUGAAACACUUCGCACAAAGAAAGAAAAGCUUCCCAAAAACCUCCUCUGGAGAAAUACUCUAUAUUGGCUGGAUUCUCUCUUCAGUGCCGGAAACAGCAGGAUGACUUCUAAGUUACCAAUGAUCUGUUCUCCACAUCACUGGAGCCUUCCCACACCUCAGCUCAAGAAGGUCACAAGCCCACUUUGGGUUAAAUGCUCUCACAGCUUACUGGAAACCCACUGAUGGCUGAUGCAGUGUUUUGAGAAUAAACUAUGUAAUCGUCAAGAUUUCCAAAAGGCACAGUUUCCCUUCCAACAAAGAACAGAUUCUGACUGAACUGUGGGAUGUGGGCAGUGGUAACCCCUGAGCUGCUCACCUUUUUGAUUCUGGAGAGAUCCCACGUGAGGAUGAAAGUCUGUUGGGAAGGCAGAUCAGCUUUCCAAGCAGAAAAUAAACAUAAAAUACAGGGGGUAGGUAAGAGCUAUGCAGAUAGGGCCACACAAUACACAACUCUGAGAUUUCAGCCCCCUCCUUCUGGUCAAGUGGUUAGCCCUAGCUCCUUCUCUGAAGAUGAGCCUGGGAACACCUUCAAGUUCUUAAAUGUUUCACUGCUCUCUGGCAGUGUUUCCAUGGGCAUUUUGUUCGGAAGGUAGUUUGCUCAUGUCCCUGGGAGUUUUCUCUUGGCAGGGAUCAGUACAGCUAGGUGACUGCUCUCCCUUAAUGAGCCUUAAUUAGAUUAUGUUUAACAGCACGGACUGCACAGGGAGGCAUGCUGAUGUGCAGACAAGGAGUGGCUUACCCUGUAAAUUAAUAGGCCUGACUGGAAUUAUGGAAGCUAGCUGUGUAAACGCAAAUGGAGCCCCCUAAGCCAACAGUCCUUGGCCUGCUGACACAGCUGCACCAGAGUACCCAGUCACUGGAGCGCCAAAGGAUAUUCAGUUACAGUGAAGAAAUCAUAACAGAGACAGGAAACAGAUCAGCACACUCUGGAUUUAACACCCUCCCUGGGGAACUCGGCUGAUUUUGAGCCUGCAGAUGUUUUUAACUCUGCCUUGAAGAAUGUCCAUGUCACAUGCUCAAGCUGAUGGAGUUGAGUACAGUAGUCAAGCAAGGCUUACAUAUUCAGAGAGGGGACUGAAAUUCUGUUGAUUCGAACUCCUCAUCUCUGAGACUGAGGUGGGGCAACUGAUAAAAUCUGCAAAAUCCUUUGGUGGAUUUGCUGAGCUGGCUGGAAAUAGAUGCCUAAGAAGCCCAGUGUUUACAUGAAAUGAGGUGUAAAUGAAGUCAACUAGACUCUUCCAUGAAGAUCCUGCCGUCCCCAUGGUGGUGGGGUUUCUCAGCUGCUUCCCCCUUGUUGUUAUUCUCACUGCUCCAUACCAAGUGGAGGAGAAUGAAAACAAGCCUUCUCCAUUCAGCACUUUCAACAUCACUGCCAACAAAAACGGGAUCCUUGACUAUUUAGAGCUUAUGACUAAGGGGAUGGCAUAUCUUAGGCAGGAUAUAGGUCGUUUUUCAAAAGUUACAGUAAAUUUGCAGAAUUGGAAAUUUAUCUUUUUAAGUUCUUCCGACUGAGUUAGAUAAAUAUGUCUAAGGCUGAAUAAAGAUGUGGUUUGCCAGAGGUACUGCAUUUUCUUUGGGGCAAAGGGACCGCUGGACCCUGCCAGGAAAGAGUUCAGGCAAGAGGAGGACUAUGGAUGUGAGAUAAACCUCAAGUCUGACGUGAAAAAAGAGAAAAAUGUUCAGCCUUGCUUGUGAUUUUUUUUUGUUUUUGGUCCCAUUUGCAGUUAUUUUACUCUUCUAAAUUUCCUUAUCUAUAAAACAAGUAAUUUUUAAGAAUGCUCUCAGAGGACCCUGUCAGGACCAAAAAUUCUAUCAGUCAUUUCCUAACAUACCCUUGAAACAUCCCGCUGAGGACAUAUUUUUGUUUCUCAUGUUGAAAAAGCAAUGAUCUUUUUAACUGCUACUGAAUUGAGUUUCGUGUUUGAACAGACACACGUUUCUGGCAAUUUAGAGCAAUUCUCCUUUCUCCACCUGAGUUUGAGGACUUAUCCAAACAACUGAGAAGAUGGGAGGGUGGUGGGGCCGGGGAGAGGGGAAGCCUGCUGGAGCUAUCUGGGCUGGCCCUCUCUGCAGAGGCAAGCCUUCACUUCUGUGAAUGGGAAGCAGUUCUGGAUGGAAGUAGAGACUUAUGGGGCGGCCUGGAUCACUGUUGGACAGUUCCACCUGUUAAAAGAAGCCCCUCCUUAUUUUGGACUUCUCCCAUCUAUGUUCUUGUCUGAAGAAUUUAUGACCACAGAUUCUCUCCCCAGAUGAUCACUCCCCAAGACUUCUCUUUCCCAAGUGGAGCUAUUUCUCCAAUUUCCUCUGUGCUCUACCACCACACCUGGUUCUUACUUGCUAUCUAAAUAACAGGUGGAUAGAGUUGGAUCACCCAGAUUCUAAUGAGGAGCUUAGAUGGAUUAGGGACUUAGGGACUUAGGUGUGGGCAGAGAAGUUCAUCUUGUAUUAAGACAUGAAGGGUACCAAUGAAACGGACUUUGCCCUGCCAAUCAGCUCUAAGUCUGGAAGGUCAUUUGUUGUGUGUUCUUGUUUGGAGUUACACAGGGCUCUUACAUCAAGGUCUCCUUUUGAGUGAAUGACCACCUGGAAAAGUAAGCAUGCACAGUGCCCGGUACAUAUGUAUAGAAUGUAUUUAGAAGUUAAAUCCUAAAUCAGACAGCUUUUCUCACACUUCAGGUUCCUGAAAGAGUGAAGGGGCAGGAUGCCUGGAAGAGACUGACCAGAGCGUGGUAUGUAAAACCUGAGUGUAGAUAAGAGGAGCAUUUGAGAUAGUUCUGUCUACCUUAAAACUCUGCUAAUGCCAGGUCUACGUCAAGAGACCCCAAACCAGCUACCUCUGCACACCAAGACAGCAAGUAUUGCCUAUGUGCUAGAAUACCUUUGCUUAUUCUUUUCUCCAUCUUCCUUCCAGAAGUUUCAUGGAAGUAGAGCCAGGGCCAGGAUACAAUUUCCUGACUCUCCCAUGCCUCUUAGUUAUGGAGGUAGGACAGUACAGGAGGGAAAAAGGAUACUGAGGAGCUUCUUAAAGGGGGAUCAUUGCUCGUAAAGUUGGCCCUAAAAUCAACCAGAAAAUCUAAUAAAACACAUGUGUUCAACACAGAAAUUAGUUUAUUGGAUCAUUCUCUCUCUUAAUUACCCCGUUUUUCAGUAAACCAUAAUGACCUCUCAGUACUUCCCAGGGGGACUUCCCUAAAGUUCUUCCUUUAAAAUGGACAAGUGAUGAGUGAUGAUUGAGUAACCUGCCAAAUCCUUCACUUACGAACUCAUCAAGAGAAAGAAGAAAAUAGACUUAGUUAUUUUGAUUUCGCAGUGAGCUCAAAGAAACAACAUCAGUAAAACAGUUAAGAAUGUUUUUCACGAGAGACAUCAUUUAAAGACAAGUGGAAUCUCUCUGCUGUCAUCCAAGAACAAAAUCCUGACUGGCUCCCACCUAUUUUUCUCCUUCUUCUUCCAUGGUCACUUGGGAUGGGCCAUGGGAGAGAUCAGGAUUCUUCAUUUACUCUAUGCCCUAAGGUUUUAUGGACUUUGUCUCACCUUUUGAAUCCAUUCCCCCAACACCACCCCAAGUUUCAUUUUACACAUCAGCGAAAGUCUCAGCCAAAGGGGAAGGAGUUUUCUUCCCACUAGAGUAGAAUUCAGGAAUUUAUCUGUCUUAAGGUCUGGAGUCAAGCUAAAUUAUGUUACCUGGGGAUGGUGCCAAAAAAAAGGUCUGUUCUCUUUUCUGAAUCAUGAAACCACCAGUGGUAAUCUUAUGUCCAAAUAGUUGAGAUUAAAAACACCAGUACAUAACGUGUGCUUUACAGAAGAUGGCUGCCAAGUAUGUUACGCCUUCAACAUAGCUCUCCUGGUAAUCUGAAAACUGACCUUGAACAAAAAAAGGCAGGUGAGAAACACAGGGCCAACUCUAAGAUUAAGUGGUAUCCACACAUAUUAGUUGAAAGAUCAGCCUCGCCCAACAUUUCCCCAACAACUUGCCACAUGUAUAUUGUCUUUUUUUCUUUCUUGGCCUGCAAUGUCCACCAGUCACUCUCCUGAGCUACACAAAGAGAGGGGACACUGUCCUAGGCCAGCAUGUUACUGGGAGAGUCAGUGAAGGAGUUAUAUUCGAUUAUCACAGGAGUUUGUUUUAAUGUCUUUAUGGUCACGUUUCUUUUUUCUGUGAAGGCUUUGUCUUAUUUUGUUGGUUAGGUGAUGAAUUAAUUUUGAAGGAAGGCUGGUCAGUUGGUCAGUCAGCACCCUUCUGUUGAAGGCUGACUCACUGUUCUCAGUCAAGGGACAAAUGGAUUUCUGCUCUUUCUUUAGUGAUUAAAAAAAAAGAAACUUGCCAAUAACCAUCUGAAUCUACCCAAAAGAGAGUUAAAUUUUUUUUCUUUUCCAGUAUUCAAAAAAUCAAGCCUAGAAAAUAGUAUAUAAUAGCACUGCCGAAUAGAGAUAUAAGCCACAUAUGUAAUCUAAUAUUUUCUAAUAGCCACAUAAAAAAGGUACAAAGAAACAGGUGAAAUUAUUUUUAACAGUAUAUCUUAUUUAACCCAACAGAUCCCAAAUAUUAUCCUUUCAAUGUGUAAUCAAUAUAAAAAUUGUUAUAUUUUACAUUCUUUUUGUCACAUUAAGUCUUCUGAAUCUGGUAGAUUUUAGACUCACAGCAUAUCUCAGUUUGAAGUAGACACAUUUUUGAGGGCUCAGUAGCCACACGCAGCCCCUGGCUACCACACUGGCAAGCUCAGAUGUAGCCCUGCCCCACACCUCACCAACUUAGGGAAAGGAGAACAGAAAUAUUAACCGGAUUUUCUUUUUCACAUGGUGGCAAACUGAAGUAUACUGUAACCUAUAGAUAUGGAGAUGUAAAUAAAUGACACCAUACCUAAAACCACUCUCAGAUCAUUUCAGCUCUAUCCUCUCUAGUUAAUACAAAUCACCACUGUACUAUAGCAAAGUAAUUGAAGAUGGGUUUUCCCCCUUUGGGGGUAAAGGACACAAUGAAGGAGUGGUGCAGCCACUUUGGAAUACAGGCUGGCUGUUCCUCCCAAAGUUAAACACUUCCCCAAGAGCAGUGAAAACAUACAUCCACACCAAAAACUUACACAUCCAUGUCCACAGCAUUAUUCAUAAUAGCCAAAACAUGGAAAGAAGCCAAAUGCCCAUCAAAUGAUCAGUGAAUAAAUGUGGCACAUACACAAGAAUAUUAUUCGGCAAUAAAGAGGAGAGAAGUACCGACACGUGUACAACACAUGUGAACCCUGAAGACAUGAUGCUAAGAAGUGAAAUAAGCCAGAGAGAAAAGACCAUUGUAUGGUUCCAUUUAUUUUUUUAUACUUUUCUUUAAUGUUUAUUUAUUUUUGAGAGAGAGACCGAGAGAGCAAGUGAGCGUGGGUGGUAGAGGGGCAGAGCAAAAGGGAGAGAGAGCAUCCCAAGCAGGCUCCACACUGUCAGCACAGAGCCCAAAGGGGGGCUUGAUCUCAUGAACCUUGAGAUUGUGACCUAAGCCAAAGUUGGGGUCUUAACCGACUGAGCCAUCCAGGCUCAUUCAUAUAAAUGGUGCCAUUUAUAUGAAACAUCCAUAGAGUCAAAAAGGACAGGAAAAUCCAUAGAGUGAAAAAGUAGCUUGGGUUACAAAGGGGUAGGAGGAGUUGGGGAGAAGAGGGGAAUGACUGCUAAUAGGUACAAGGUUUCUUUCUGAGGUGAUGAAAAUGUUCUAAAAUUGAUUGUGGUGAUUAUUGCAUAAUUCUGAAUACACUAAAACUAUCUAAUUGUACACUUUAAAUUGGUGAGUUGAAUCAUAUGUGAGUUAUAUCUCAAUAACACUGUUAUUUAAAAAAAAAAAAGUAACAAAAGAUGACUCCACCUAAUGUAUGAGGCCCCUGAACACCACAUUUUAUCAAGUGCUCAUAUGAGAUUGCCCAUGUGACCGCAGAUAUAUGGAUACAGAGGCAUUCUACCAAUACAAACAAUGGGUGAAAUGCUGAAGUAUGUUUCUUCUAUUUAAAGAAGGCAAAGCAGAGAAGCUCCAGGUUAAUUUCUCCCUAGCCAGAGCCUAUAAAGAGAAACAAAGUGUAGAAUCUCAGACUGAAGACCUCCCUGGUAAUAAGGAAAAAGCCAAUCUUUCCAUAGGAGGGUUGGCGAGAGGGGGUUUGACGACAGGGUGACAGGUCUGCAGAAGUACAGGCUCAUACCGUGACGUCCCGCUUCCUCCUGCAAUCCCGCCAUCCUCCUGGGCAGCUCAGCACUCAUUCACCACUCACUACCUCUUCAAGAUGGGUUUCCAAAAUCAGCUUCAGACUUUAGGACCCUAGCGCCAGCCUUCAGCAUCAGGGCUUCCAGAAGGCGAUUUACUUACCCGCAGACUACUGUCCUCCCUUAUAGUUUGAUACUUCUUUUACAAUGUUUUGUUCUAGGCUUAGUUUGCCGUUGUUUUUAUUUCCCCGAAACCAAAAACGUUUCCAAGACCACACUGGCACAUUGGUGAACUAACAGCUGCUUCGUAAAAAGCGCUUAUUAUUUGUACCUGACUAUCCAUGGUUGCAUUUCAGCCACUUCCCGAUAACCAACCAAACCAAAAAGAUCUAUUCAAAUCAAGAAAGUAACAAACCACAAAGAAAAAUAAUUAGUUGCCUAAUUGUCUCAAUGAAAUGAAAGGGGGCGGCCUGCGUCCUAAGCAACAUAAGUGCCUGGAUUCCUCUGUGGUGGGAGCAGGGUCUGUGCCGAGCUGCAGCCUCGCGUGUUGACCUCUGAACCUCAGUGCCAGAUACUAUCAGCGACCACAGGAAGAGUCAGCAGACAUCCUGGAGUCACAGAUUACAGUGUCUCUCUCACUUCAUUCCUACUGUCACAAGUAUGUUAUCAGCCUGUUCGCUGGUGAUAGCUACAGCUCCAUCUCCUGUCCCCUCACUGCCCCUUUCUCCUCUUUCUGUGUAACAUUGCGAGGCAACAUCACAUCAGUCACCCUCAAUAUCCCUUAAUACCCCUUUUGCUAUACAGACUGCUCUGUUAAAACACUUUCAGAGACGGGCUAUUUUAACUGAAUCAAGUCUAAAUUCUUUCGUCCUGGUUUUCAGCUGGCUAGCUAGCCUGGCUCCUUACCCACCCCCCCACCACACCCUCCCUACAACCCCAGCUCCAGUCAGGAAAACAGUUUCCCUCUCUGGGGGCCUUUUCUCCCAUCCCCACAUGCUCCCUAAGCUAACUCCUGCUCUCCUCACCCAGAGCUCCAGACUACUACAAUGGUUUUCCUCUUCCUUUCUUGAUUUCCUUUGGACGCACCUUCACCACAGAGAGCUACUGUUGGAACUCACUGGCAUUGUUUGCUACUGUUACCUGUCAGUAACUUUUGUCUCCUUAACUUGCUUGUAACAUGCUGACCACAGGGACCAAGAUUUACUAUUCUGAAUCUUCCAGGGCAUCGAGCACAUAUUGGGAGCCUAAGCCACACAGCAUUAACAACUAUCACUGGAUACUGGAUUACAGAAGACUGGUACUUAAUGCUCCUUGAUUCCCUUGCUGUAUCUUCAGUCUGUCUCUGCCUCAAGACCCUCCCACUGACUGCCUAGGGACUCCCUCAUUUUAACGCCCCUUCCCUUAAACAAUCAUUCUUCCCUAUUGCUUUCUCUGAUCACACAUUGCUCUCCUCCCUGCAGAAUUAGUAACCUUAGAAUCCGGGUCCUCUAUCUAUCCUCUAUUUCCUUUCAAACAUCUUUCAAACUAUAGUAUGAUUAUGUUGAUUUUUUUUCCCUCCUCUGUUAGACCACAACGACCAUAAAUACUGAUGCCAUGUCUCAGCAAUACAAUCCCACACUCUAGCACAGGGGAAGGAUAUAAUAGGUAGAUAACAGAUACUCUAGGAUUUUAUUCCAGGAACUCUCAUGGAGGGCCCAGGAAUCAUGCAAACUUCUUCUUCCUAGUGAAAGUUAACUCUUUUCACAGAACUUGGUUGAGGAGUCCUUCUUCCCAGCAUGCAGAGAUGGGCUCAGCCCCAGGGUCCAGGGAAGCCGGCGUGCCCUCCGGCUCACCACUGUUGCUCUGGGGACCUCUAUCUAAAGGUAGCUUCCCCCCAGCAAUAGCACUGUUAGGAAUUUACCCUAGGGAUACAGGAGUACUGAUGCAUAGGGGCACUUGUACCCCAAUGUUUAUAGCAGCACUCUCAACAAUAGCCAAAUUAUGGAAAGAGCCUAAAUGUCCAUCAACUGAUGAAUGGAUAAAGAAGUUCUGGUUUAUAUACACAAUAGAAUACUACAUGGCAAUGAGAAAGAAUGAAAUAUGGCCCUUUGUAGCAACAUGGAUGGAACUGGAAAGUGUUAUGCUAAGUGAAAUAAGCCAUACAGAGAAUUAGAGUGGGAGAAAGCCAAAGCAUAAGAGACUCUUAAAAACUGAGAACAAACUGAGGGUUGAUGGGGGGUGGGAGGGAAGGGAGGGUGGGUGAUGGGUAUUGAGGAGGGCACCUUUUGGGAUGAGCACUGGGUGUUGUAUGGAAACCAAUUUGACAAUAAACUUCAUAUAUUGAAAAAUAAAAUAAAAUAAAAUAAAAUAAAAUAAAAUAAAAUAAAAGGUAGCUUCCCCUCAGACUGCAGACUGUACUCUCCCUCAAGCCUCCUUAAAGAUGGCCUCUUCUCACUUGCUUUCUGGAAAGAAGGGAGAUAGGAACAGACCUAAAGAAAAUCAUUAUGGAAAGUUUGUGUUUCACACUCACCUCUCUGAAUUCCUGCUCUACAUCUCAACACUCUUCUUCCCCAAUCCUAGGUGCCUUCAUUCCAAAGCUCCUUGAACCUCUUAUAUCUCUGAAACAUGAACGUUUUAUUAACAACAGAUUCAAAGACCUCAGCGAGAUUUUAUGGAGAAAGUAAUCUGAUUAAACAGUGCAGCCUGAAGUGCAGGUGACCAUUAAGAACCACCAUUCUUUCUAAAACUUCCUAGUGUAUUUGUACUUCACAAGAGGUCUAUAAUCUUAAAUUUAACGGAAAUAGAGUAAAUUCAAAUGAAGCAAAAGGACUGUCCCAGUAUCUUUCUGAAGAAGCAAAGAGACACCUGGUCCUACCUUAGAGAUUUCCAGGUGCUUCAGCAGGUCCUUGCUUUGCUCAGUCUUCUCCCUUUGACCCUAGUCACUCUCUGACCUCCUCCUCCCCAAGGUUGGGGAGUUUGUCUCCUCCCUUCUCAGACCUAGCCACUGCUAUCUUUUACUUUUCCUGGAUCUGAGUCUGUGCUAUAACUGACUAUUUGACGUGGGGUCUGAGCCUCUGCCUUCCCUGAAUUCAACUUUAGAAAAUAUUCUUUGUCCAUACACAGGCACCUUUGGGGAGAGGCCUACCAGAUCAUGGGCUUCAGUAAGAUUUAAGAAAACACCCUAAGUACGAUGCACAUCAUAAGCACACAAAACAUAUCACUCUUCCUUUCUCAAAUAUUUAUUGAGCUGAGGAACCAUCCCAGGUACAGUAAUGAACAAGACACUCUGUCCCCAUUAAACUUACACCAUGGCUAAGAAAAAAUAUUUAAAAACAAAAAAAGUAAUUGUAAGGAUGCAAGGGUUUGUUCACUCCCUUCUGCCUAUAAGCCCUGCCCUUGAGGACUAAAUAAGAUCACUUCAUACCCCAAUGUCGAAACCUGCUGCACACUCUGCUCCCUCCAGAUCUUCCCACACAUGGGUCCUUCCCUUCCUGGUGCUUCCCUGAGCACCCUGGAACCCCAAAUUCUUCCACUCUCUCCAAUCGGGGGUAUACUUACCCUCGCCCCCACCACAUGCUCAUCCAGGGUAUACAUACCAUCCCCUCCCAUCGUGUUCAGCCUAGGUAUACAUACCAAAAGCACCCCCCCACCCUUGUGCUCAGCCAUGGAGAAAAAAAAAAAAAAAGAGACUCUGAACUUAUCAGAAUCCACCUUUUGUAGGUAUUUGCAAUUAAAAUAGGACAAAAAAGUUAAUACUCUUCUUCCCUUCAUUCUAAAUGCUGACUUAUUCACUCUUUUGAAAGUGAGGUUAACUAUAUACAAAGAGGCAGAGAAGGAAGGAAUCAAUUUAAUAAUAUCCUAGCUGGGAGAAGGACUAGCUGAGCUUUUAAAAUAUAAGUGUUCCCACUUUACAUAACCACAAUCUCAGAGGAAGGAAAAAAGCUCCAAAGCAGAGAAGACCACCUGGCACCUUUUUUUUUUUUCUUUGGUGGAUGGAUUCUAAUACUUGGUCAUUAGCCUGAGAAGGUAAGAAAGUCACUGCUUCCAGCAAGCCAUCUCAAUACAGAGCAUGGUUCAAGUGAUUUCUUUUUCCUUUGUUGAUAACUAGUAGAUUUAUGUUUUCAUUCAAUGUGGCUUUCAUUAAUAUGAGAAGCACAAAGAAAAAUUUCAUAAUAUGAUAAAUAUAAACAGAUCACUGAACUGAGAGAAACUGCAAGUUUUCUUGGGAUUAUUAAUGGAAACGUUAUGCUUUUUAUUAAAUUUGUAGACAUGUAUAUUUGAAUAAUUACCCACUAAUUUUAUGAAGCUGGGAGGGACCAGAAUCUUCCAUGAUUGAGUGUAGAAAUCUAGAAUAAAGUGAGUUCAAAACACGUAAGCCUAGAAAAUACUUCAGUACCUCUAAAGUUACAUGAAGAGAACCAAAUGGAAAACCAAUAAUCAUGAGAUCACUAAUAUUUUGAACAAAACUAAUGAGAUGAGAGUUUUCCAUCUGUCAAUUUUUACCAACUAACUUUUGUUUCAGAGAACUGGAAAAAUAUAUCUAAAGGGAAGGUACCAAAAUAUUUACUCUGAAGUGCUGAAGUAAGUAAAAGUAAAAACCAGUACUAUGUAUGUAAAAUCAGGGUCACCUAGAUGGGUCAGUCAGGUAAGCAUCCAACUCUUGAUUUUGGCUCAGGUCAUGAUCUCACAGUUCCUGAGUUCGAGCCCCACAUUGGGCUCUGCACUGACAGUGUGGAGCCUACUUGGGAUUCUCUCUCUCUCCCUCUCUGUUCCUCCCCUGCUUGUGUUCUUUCACUCUUUCUCAAAAAUAACUUGAAAAAAAAAUAAAGUAAAAUAAAAUAAAACGUAGGGGUGGAACAGAGCUCUGGAUGACAUUACAGAUCACACCCAUAACAGUGCAUGGCCUAAAGAAGGUUUCAAAAUCACCUACUCUACUCCCUUCAUUUUGCAGACUGGCUUAUUUGAGACCCAGAGAGUUUACAUCAUCUUGUAAAUUCACAUAGCUAGUUAGUUAAUACAUAUGCAAAAAAAAAAAAAAAAAAAAGACUACUUCUGAACUCCAUUCUUCAAAUAUCCAGUCAUGCAUGCACAUGUAGGGGGGUGUGCAUGUGUAGACAGAGAGAAGGAGGGAGAGACAGCGUGGGAGAGACAAAGCUCAAAUGAAGUACUGAACUCAGUUAUUUUCACAAAAUCUAGUUUUCUAUCUUUGUCUUUCUGUCUUGAUUAGUAAUGAGCAUUUGUGGAAUACCUUGUAAGUGCCAGGCGUUUUGAGAAGUACUUCACUUACAUCAAAUAAUCCUCAUAAUGCCCUGUGACGUAGGUGGUUUUGUUAUCUCUCUUUCCAUAAAGAGCAAAUGAAGGCUUGGUGGUAUAAAUUUACAAGUUUAAGGUCACUUGGUUUCCCUGACCUCCUCAUUCACAGGCUUCACUGUUUAGAGGAGGCACAUUUUGGUCUACCAAAAGUGCAACAAAUAGUGAAGGCUUCCAAACCAAAUUAUUUUAUGCACACUUUCUGAACUGUGUUUUAAACGAAUAUAGCUGCUGUUAAAAAGCAGAGUGGAUUCACAUGGCAGCAGUUUAGAAACAGCUGUGGUCGCUGGUGUGUACACCAUAUGGAGAUGGAAAUUACCUUCCAACCUUCUUUCACGGGCUCAUAUCAAACAGAUUCUUACACUUCAUCCUGAAUCUUUUCUGUGGAGCAAAGGAAAGAGACUCUGCAUAUGCCCUCUUCACUUGCACAGACGGGAAGGGGCGGGUACAAAGGAGAGUCCCAACCUUACCCGGAAACCACUGAAGUUUUGCCAAUAGCGAACUGACAGCAACACUGGAGACAGAGAGAGAUGGCUCACAUUCCAUCUGGCAUGUGGUGCCCUCUAUUGUGCCUUUUGAAAUUCUGCUGGCGGGUGGGGAAACAAUUUGUAGGGCUGGCUGAUAUUUUUCUUUUAUGCAAAUGUACCAGUGUUGGAAAACGGUCUGCUUUUCAUUAAAUCGGAAAUUCCCAAAGGCAAAGCUUACAUCUCCCUUCUUUACUGUGCAUGAUGCCCAACACAUUAUGGAUAGUUAAUAAAUGUCACAUCAUUUUCAUAUUGCCUUGACUAACAAUGACAUUUUCCCAUGAGUCUUGCUUGCUUCAAUUUCUCAGCAAAUCUCAAAAACUGCAUCUAUUUCCUAAGAAAAAAGCACUGUGUAAGGCCCAUCUUCCUUGCCUGAAUCUCUUCCCCAAACUCCUAUUAAUGCUUCACUCGCCUUUUCUCUGGGCCAAGGGAUAUCUCCUCCCACAACCCCCAGCUGUUCCCCAACUCUGUUUCCAUUCCCACUUGCAGAAUUUAUUCACAAAUCUCUGACACCCUGGUUCAUAUCACUCCCAUCACAAAAUGGCAGCUCUCUCUAAACUCCCUAUACUUUAUGAGUCUUUGGGGGAACCCUUUGAGGAGGAUUCUCAAGUAGGCUAUCAGUAGUAUGCAGAUUUUUUAAAGCAUUGUUUUUUUGUUUUCAUAAGGAUUAUUAUACCUCUUAUUUUCUGAGAAAUUGAAAAAAAAUGAAUUAUAAAUGCCAAUGAUAAUUAAUAGUCAGGAAAGGGACCUUGUUUUCUUUAUCUUUGUACCGCAAUUCACAGCACAUGGUGGGUAGUCAGUGAGAGCUCAUAUGAAUGAUAAGUAUUUCCAUCUCUCCUCAAUUAUCUCAAAAGCAAUUCAACAGUAAGAUUUCUAUGUAAAAUGUGAGGUAGAGCAAUCACUAUAUCUUCAUAUUCUUCAUCAAAAGGGCCCAGUAAAGUACUGAAUAUGAGCUAUCAUGAGGACUUCCUCUUCCAAGUACAAAAUGAAAUAAAACCCAAAGGGGAAGAAUAUGCUUAUCUCUCACUUACACUGCUUUGAAUGCCUGAGCUUGGAUUGAAAACUCUAUCAUCUAAAAUGUCAACAGUAAUUUUACUUAUGCAUUUUCCUGCUUCACAGAACAAGAACGUAAUAAAAAGUCUGUCUCAAAAAUUAGAGAACAGAGGCAUCUUUAGGCAUUUAGAAUAAGAAUGUAUUCUAAGUUUCUGCCAGAACUUUUGCAGACUGCUAGUUCCAUUCUCCUGUUUUCCUGACAAGUCUACAGUUCUUCAUCUUCUCAGUGUAUGAAAAAAAUUGAUCUGUGUAUGGAAAUAUUUACACCAAUCAAAAAAAAAAAAAGAAAAACUAUCGUAGCAUAUGAAAAGAGAAGCUUGUUUCAAUCAGGGCCAAAUGUCAGUUUUCAAAAACUUAUAAAAAGGCUAAAAAAUGAAAAACAUCGGAAGAAGCACAAAGUGUUUAUAGUUAUGACUCAGGAGACCAGUUUCACAAUGUUUCCUGUGGCAAGAGUUGUGUUCACUAAGAAUACAACAUGAGAGUUGUAUUCUUGAGAGUUCAACACCUUUGUAGCUCCAUUUGUAACAAAAUUAUAAGGCACUGAAAAGUAAACUUGUAAUUAUUUUGUAAAUAAACUGAAUUUUUCAAUGUGCUAUAUAAAACCUGACAAUUUUGUAAGUGGAACAAAGCAUAGGUAAUAAUGGAUCAGAUUAUAAAUAAAUCACAUUGUUAUUUAAUAAUUAAUAAUUACUCAGUCUAAAUUAACAUUAAAUUAUAAAUAUGACAAUACUAUAUAUAAUAUUAUGUUAAAUACCAUGGCUAUUAAGUUCUACAUAAUAAGAGCGGUCAAAGUCCUUAAUUCCUCACUAUACAUUCUACACCUAAAUGAUUAGCCCAAGCCAACCAGAGCCAGCCCUACUCCCUUCGUCCAUGCUGAUUUAGGAAAAGACUGAGGCUCAAUGUUGGCCAAUGACCUGUGACAGAGGGUCUACUGAAGGCUUUCUGGGAUAGUUUCCUUGCUUCCAAAAAGACACUGAAACACAGAUUCUUUCACCAACCUGGACCCGCUGCAGCAGCCACCGUGUGACCAUUUCCGUCACUUUUCAUAACACACACUUGUAUGCAGUUCUCUUUACAUGCAAGAUACUGUUCUAAGUAUUUUAACUCAUUCAGUUCUCACCUCCCUAUAGGUAGAUACUCGAAUUACCCCCAUUUUUUGAUGAGGACAAUGAGGCACUGAGAGGCUGACUUACCCAAGGCUGUCUUGCCACUAAGUGGCAAAGCCGGAAAUUCAAGCCAGGGUACAUCUCUCAGCCAUGAGGAUGCUAUGUCACCUCUCCAAGAAAGCUGCUCUUAGCCCCCAGCAUGUGUUUCUUCCCUUUAAAAUAUCCUCUUUGCUAGUGGCCACUAGGUCUUUAAUUAUUUUUAAAAAGGCCUGCAAGACAAUAGACUCCUUCGAUAUUCCCUGAACAAAGUAUGAUCCUGGUACAGGGAAGAGUACAUAGGAGUGAGGGCAGUGAGGUUUUGAUGGAGGGAGGACAGAAGGCGGAAAGGGUCAGAGGGCAUGAGGCCUACCAGGCUUCACAAAGGGAGAGCCGAGGUAACGCAAACACGGGAGGCUGGUGCCUGGAAAAUGGAGGGGAAGGGAGCAAGAGGGUUGAGAGUUGUCAGCAACUUACCGGCAGCCACAGGUCAGUGCAGACCGACUAUAUACCUGGCCCCUCUUCUGUAUUACUUGUAAGUGUUAUAACUCACACAUCCUGCAAGGAAGGUUUUCUUAUUCCCAUUUCCCAGAUGAGCAAAGUGGUACUUCAAGAGUGGGUGAUUUGGUGGCAAGGGGCAAAGCCAGCAUGUGAACCAGACUAUAGGAAUCUAAAGAUGAGCUGGCAUCCUGCAGAGCAGAGGCACCAGCAGGGACUGUGAGGGAGAAGAGGAGCCCUCCAGCUCACCACUUUGCUGAGGACUGUGUCUUCCCUCAAAACCAACGACUCUCAGACAUCAUUCCCUUCCCUGGGGGGCCUCCAAAUGAACAGCUCAAGUCUUUCAAGGAAAAUUUCAGAGUUCAUCUGUUUUAAGUUACUUGGAGUUGCUACCAAAAGGAAUCACUCUUUCCCACCCUACCCCUAACGACCAAGCACUGGAAACAACCUAAUGCCUUCAUGCUGUCUGAGCAGAAAAAUGGCUGAGGAGAUUUUUUUUUCCCCUUAGUUUUUCCAAAAAUAAAAACAAACCACAUUCAGCUUCAACCCAAUUGUAGGACAAACAAAUUAUUCUCCCUCCCCACACUCUUACCAGGAUUCGUAAGCAAAUGCAAACCAGGAAAGGGCAGGGAGGAAUUCUACUUAAAACGGUUGAAAACUUCAGGGCUCAAGUAUUCAAUCGACACAUAUUAUGAAUUAUGAAACAUGAGACCAUGUAUAAACAGCUGCUGAUUUAAUCCACAUAUACAUGUGAUCGUGUGUUUUCCCAUCAAAAUCUUGAGAUGCAGGGCACGUGGGUGGCUCAGGUGACUGAGCAUCCACCUCUUGAUUUUGGCUCAGGUCAUGAUCUCACAGUGCAUGGGAUAGAGCCCCACCUCGGGUUCUACGCUGACAAUGUGGGGCCUGCUUAGAAUUCUCUCUCUCUCUCGGGGAGUCUGGGUGGCUCAGUUGGUUGAGUGAUUGACUUCAGCUCAGGUCAUGAUCUUGUGGUUGGUGAGUUCAAGCCCCACAUCGGGCUCUGUGCUGACAGCUCAGAGCCUGAAGCCUGCUUCAGAUCUGUGUCUCCUUCUCUCUCUGUCCCUCCUCUGCUUGUGCUCUGUCUCUCAAAAAUAAAUAAGCAUUGGGGCGCCUGGGUGGUGCAGUCGGUUAAGCGUCCGACUUCAGCCAGGUCACGAUCUCGCGGUCCGUGAGUUCGAGCCCCGCGUCAGGCUCUGGGCUGAUGGCUCAGAGCCUGGAGCCUGUUUCCGAUUCUGUGUCUCCCUCUCUCUCUGCCCCUCCCCCGUUCAUGCUCUGUCUCUCUCUGUCCCAAAAAUAAAUAAACGUUGAAAAAAAAAAAUAAGCAUUAAAAAAUUUAAAAAAAAAAAAAAAAAGAAUUCUCUCUCUUUUCUCCACCCCUCCUCCACAUGCUCUCUCUCUCAAAAAUAAAUAAGCAUUUUUUUUUUUUAAAUCUUGAGAUGCUCUGAGAAUGGAUGGAUCUGUGUGUUUCUUAGCCAUGCAUGGAGUGGAGAGAUCAUGGGAACUGAAGUCAGGUUGAAUACAAAUGUUGGCCAUGCCACUCAGCUCUAGGGGCUUCAGUCCUCCUCACCUGCAAACUGCAGGUAAUUCCCACUUCAAAGGAUUUCUGAGAGAA